GGACUACAAGGGUAUCUAAUCCUGUUUGCUCCCCUAGCUUUCGUUCCUCAGCGUCAGUAGUGGUCCAGCGCGCCGCUUUCGCCACGGGUGUUCCUGCAGAUAUCUACGCAUUUCACCGCUACACCUGCAAUUCCACGCGCCUCUCCCACACUCCAGCACAGCAGUUUCGGAAGCAGGUUCUGAGUUAAGCCCAGAAAUUUCACUCCCGACUUGCCACACCGCCUACGAACCCUUUACACCCAGUAAUUCCGAACAACGCUGGCCCCCUACGUCUUACCGCGGCGGCUGGCAC
rnacentral:rRNA from 1 species